AUGGCGGACAAUACCGGCAGAGAGGGAGAAGAGGCCUUGUUUGAGAUCAUACGCUCCCCUCGCGCGCCAGAUAAUCGAAAUGAAGAAGAUGACAGCUCCCAAUAUCUGAACAAUACUGGGGAGGGUGAUGAUAUGAUAUUCGAUCACGACGACCGAAUUGAUGAAGUCAUGGAUUAUGAUGGCGAAGAAGUUAAUGAUUAUUAUGGCAAAGAAAAUGUUGAUCUUGAUAAAACAGAGACCGGCAAGCCCUUCGGAUCGAGCAAAUCUUCUACAUGCAGAGUAGUGCGAGCCCAGGAAAAAAGUUGA
rnacentral:rRNA from 1 species